rnacentral:rRNA from 1 species
UACGUAGGGUGCAAGCGUUAAUCGGAAUUACUGGGCGUAAAGCGUGCGCAGGCGGUUCGCUAAGACAGAUGUGAAAUCCCCGGGCUUAACCUGGGAACUGCAUUUGUGACUGGCGGGCUAGAGUAUGGCAGAGGGGGGUAGAAUUCCACGUGUAGCAGUGAAAUGCGUGAGAGAUGGAUGGACGGAAUGACCGAGUGGCGAAGGCCAGGCCCCCCUGGGCCAAUACUGACGCUCAGUA